AGCCGGAAUAUGAACUGAAACCAGCCGGUCAUUUCCGGCUGAGCUUAACUGGGAUACGUUAACAAUUGGUGAACAACGGCAUGGUGUCGUAGCAAGGAAUCUUGGACAUCUAUCGCUAGGACACCGGAGUCUAAGUCUGCCAUGUGACGUAUGCCUUCCAGCUUAACGAAAUGACAAUCCAGUUGAAGAUUGAGAAGGUUCCUGGUUAUCCAAAUAACUUGCGAAUAAACUCACAAGAAUGGCUUGCUUUCGCAUUUUACUAGAAACAACGCAAAACGUUCAGUAUAAGUUAGUCAUCGAUUCAUGGAUAUCGGCCGAACAUAUUACUGUGGUCGAACAUAGACGGCCACCGAACACAAGUUAGGUACGUCCGAAUACUCAUAAGUGAUCCACGCGAUUACCUUAGUAGAAGCACUUAUGUCCCACCCUUAAAUAUCAAAGGAAAAUUCCACAGAAAUCUUUCUUGCUUUGAAACCUCCUAACCAACCAUAGUAGAAUGGUAUCCUGCUGUGAAAGCAGUUCGACCCAAUGACAAGGAAAUCAAUCCCACACAGGGCUUCAACUGAAAAACUGUUGAGACGCACACAUAUUGACAAUGAAACUACGCAGUACAUAUGAUAAACGCUUACACUAGUCAAUGUUGUGAUGACCUAGCUCAAUAUACUUCAUAUGGUCUUCGGCAGCAAAGAAAUAGCAUGGGAAAAUAGGGCGAUACAAGGUGUACAUCGGAAUCGAAGAAUUGUUUGAAAAGAAACCACCACUGCCAAACUCAGUAAUCGAAGAACCUGAAGUUAUUGACUAACUACGUGUUUUGGGUGUUAUUGCUACCUUAUGUACUACGUACGAGUAUGGUUCGGCUUCCAGUGUGGAAAUUAUCAGCUCCCGAUUACCACCGGCCUGAUCUUUUGUACUGUACGCUAACAUACACGAAACGGUGCUCCUUCAAGGGCAUGGGACUUGCCAGUUUCAAUUAACGGCUUCUACAAGAGUUGAAGGAAGCGAUAAAUCUGAAACCGGCACAAUUUCCCUCAAUAAAAAAAAACUCAAGGGUAUUACCAGUCAGUAAUUUGUGACGCCAUGAAACACUGGUGCUACCUUGAAGGCAGGUUGACGUUUCAGCACCGGCGACGAUCGAGUGCCAAGGUGACCCAGCGAAGGAAACAGGAACGAGAAAGCUGAUUGUGAAGGACAAAACCCAAUACAUCAAAGAUUACUAGAAUUAAGAUGCAGUGAACUCUACGUCAAACUGGGGACGGCAUGCAAUAGUUGAAUUCGUCAUUUUAGUCGAUGAUAGACCGAGAAGCAAAGAGUGAGAAUUAUAUCCAGUUGUAACAACAUAGUAUCGAGUUCUACUCCACCAGCCGACCUUCGGCUAAUUCUCAAGCCAGUGGCACUUUGCUGGCUCAUAACUAUACACAAUUAGGGGAUAAAAAGUAAAAUUUAAAUCAUACUCUUCUUAUUACAAUAUUUUCCGAAACUGCCAACCGAAAUAAACAUAAAAAUCGACACAAAGAAGAAGAACCAAGAACCGAUUCAAGAAUGGUCGGACAUCUAC